rnacentral:misc_RNA from 1 species
UGAUGAUAAAGGGAAAAAUAAAAAUAGAGAAAGAAAAAGAAGGGUAAAGGAGCUCUAGAUUUAUAAGGGUAUGCGCAGAAAGUGAAAGAGUAACACAAAAAGCAGGGAAAGACCAGGGAAAAUCAAAGGAAAAGAAAGAGGAGGAUUGUUACAAUCGUGAGCUGCUGCUAUCAAGAUGUUCAAGAUAAAGAGUCUACCGGCAGAAAGGGGCAAAGGCGACAUGGCUUGGGAUGAGAAGGGCCAUAGUGAAAUCUCCCAAAUUUUUAUUUCUCUAGAUAGAGAUUAUUUUAGUUGCAUUCAAUUUCAGUAUUUUGAAAAUGGGUCUUUGGUGCUUUCUCCUCCAUAUGGCGCAUAUGAUGGUCAUGGCCCCACUCUUUACACUGUUCAAUUUAAUUACCCAUCAGAGUUCCUCACAAGGGUGAGUGGUAAAUACACCUAUGAUCAUCUCAGGUCAAUAACAUUUACUACCAACAAAGGGACUUAUGGGCCAUAUGGUGGGAAUAAUGCUAGACAUGGAUUAGAGUUAUUUGAGUUCAACUUUAACAUGGGAGAGAAUAAGCAAUUUGGCGGGUUUCAUGGAUUAUACCAUUCGAGAGCGCUCAGGUCAAUUGGAGUAUAUAUCAACCCCAGCGCCACAACACAGACUUCACCGGGGGAAAUCUCAGAGUCCAAAGCGGAUGUUGUCAAGCUCUGGACUUGAGAACAACCAAAAUUCAGCUGUAGUUGUUAUAAUGUUAAUCUAUUGAAGAAAAUUAUCAAAAUCUUGGAUUAAUUAGUAUGAUACUAUAGCCUAGUAGUGGCCUUUGAUAGUUUGAUGUAUACACUUGUCUGGAAUUGCACGUUCCUUACUGAAUAUCUAGCCUAUUUAGGCCUAGUUUGGUUAAAUUGGCAUAAACUCUCACGUCUAAAAUGUUUGAUUUUGGGUUUAAGACCCAGCAUGCAUUGUCAAUUUGAAUUUUCAUAUGAAGAUCCAUAGCAUAUGCC